AUUGAACGCUGGCGGCAGGCUUAACACAUGCAAGUCGAGCGGAGAUGAGGUGCUUGCACCUUAUCUUAGCGGCGGACGGGUGAGUAAUGCUUAGGAAUCUGCCUAUUAGUGGGGGACAACAUUCCGAAAGGAAUGCUAAUACCGCAUACGUCCUACGGGAGAAAGCAGGGGACCUUCGGGCCUUGCGCUAAUAGAUGAGCCUAAGUCGGAUUAGCUAGUUGGUGGGGUAAAGGCCUACCAAGGCGACGAUCUGUAGCAGGUCUGAGAGGAUGAUCCGCCACACUGGGACUGAGACACGGCCCAGACUCCUACGGGAGGUAGCAGUGGGGAAUAUUGGACAAUGGGCGGAAGCCUGAUCCAGCCAUGCCGCGUGUGUGAAGAAGGCCUUUUGGUUGUAAAGCACUUUAAGCGAGGAGGAGGCUACUUAGAUUAAUACUCUAGGAUAGUGGACGUUACUCGCAGAAUAAGCACCGGCUAACUCUGUGCCAGCAGCCGCAGUAAUAC
rnacentral:rRNA from 1 species